GAAUGCUGACAUAAGUAACGAUAAAGCGGGUGAAAAGCCCGCUCGCCGGAAGACCAAGGGUUCCUGUCCAACGUUAAUCGGGGCAGGGUGAGUCGACCCCUAAGGCGAGGCCGAAAGGCGUAGUCGAUGGGAAACAGGUUAAUAUUCCUGUACUUGGUGUUACUGCGAAGGGGGGACGGAGAAGGCUAUGUUGGCCGGGCGACGGUUGUCCCGGUUUAAGCGUGUAGGCUGAUUUUCCAGGCAAAUCCGGAAAAUCAAGGCUGAGGCGUGAUGACGAGGCACUACGGUGCUGAAGCAACAAAUGCCCUGCUUCCAGGAAAAGCCUCUAAGCAUCAGGUAACAUCAAAUCGUACCCCAAACCGACACAGGUGGUCAGGUAGAGAAUACCAAGGCGCUUGAGAGAACUCGGGUGAAGGAACUAGGCAAAAUGGUGCCGUAACUUCGGGAGAAGGCACGCUGAUAUGUAGGUGAAGCGACUUGCUCGUGGAGCUGAAAUCA
rnacentral:rRNA from 1 species